GUGCCUUCGGGAACCGUGAGACAGGUGCUGCAUGGCUGUCGUCAGCUCGUGUUGUGAAAUGUUGGGUUAAGUCCCGCAACGAGCGCAACCCUUAUCCUUUGUUGCCAGCGGUCCGGCCGGGAACUCAAAGGAGACUGCCAGUGAUAAACUGGAGGAAGGUGGGGAUGACGUCAAGUCAUCAUGGCCCUUACGACCAGGGCUACACACGUGCUACAAUGGCGCAUACAAAGAGAAGCGACCUCGCGAGAGCAAGCGGACCUCAUAAAGUGCGUCGUAGUCCGGAUUGGAGUCUGCAACUCGACUCCAUGAAGUCGGAAUCGCUAGUAAUCGUGGAUCAGAAUGCCACGGUGAAUACGUUCCCGGGCCUUGUACACACCGCCCGUCACACCAUGGGAGUGGGUUGCAAAAGAAGUAGGUAGCUUAACCUUCGGGAGGGCGCUUACCACUUUGUGAUUCAUGACUGGGGUGAAGUCGUAACAAGGUAACCGUAGGGGAACCUGCGGUUGGAUCAC
rnacentral:rRNA from 2 species